UACGUAGGUGGCAAGCGUUAUCCGGAAUUACUGGGCGUAAAGCGCACGCAGGCGGUCUUUUAAGUUUGACGUGAAAGCUCCCGGCUUAACUGGGAGAGGUCGUUGAAUACUGGAAGACUUGAGGCAAUGAGAGGGGUGUAGAAUUCCCGGUGUAGUGGUGGAAUGCGUAGAGAUCCGGAGGAACACCAGCGGCGAAGGCGGCAUCCUGGACUGGUCCUGACACUCAGGAGCGAAAGCGUGGGGAGCGAUCCGG
rnacentral:rRNA from 1 species